rnacentral:rRNA from 1 species
AGCGAACGCUGGCGGCAGGCUUAACACAUGCAAGUCGAGCGGGCCCUUCGGGGUCAGCGGCAGACGGGUGAUUAACACGUGGGAACGUACCCUUUGGUUCGGAAUAACGCAGGGAAACUAGCGCUAAUACCGGAUACGCCCUUUUGGGGUAAGGCUUGCUGCCGCAGGAUCGGCCCGCGUCUGAUUCGCUAGUUGGUGUGGUAAUUGCCUAUCAAGGCGACGAUCAGUAGCUGGUCUGAGAGGAUGAUCAGCCACACUGGGACUGAGACACGGCGCAGACUCCUACGGGAGGAAGCAGUGGGGAAUAUUGGACAAUGGGCGAAAGAAUGAGCCAGCCAUGCCGCGUGAGUGAGGAAGGACUGAGGGUUGUAAAGCUCUUUUGUACGGGAAGAUAAUGACGGUACCGGAAGAAUAAGCCACGGCUAACUUCGUG